CAGUAGCCGCGGGAAUACGUAGGGUGCAAGCGUUAAUCGGAAUUACUGGGCGUAAAGCGUGCGCAGGCGGUUAUAUAAGACAGAUGUAAAAUCCCCGGGCUCAACCUGGGAACUGCAUUUGUGACUGUAUAGCUAGAGUACGGCAGAGGGGGAUGGAAUUCCGCGUGUAGCAGUGAAAUGCGUAGAUAUGCGGAGGAACACCGAUGGCGAAGGCAAUCCCCUGGGCCUGUACUGACGCUCAUGCACGAAAGCGUGGGGAGCAAACAGGAUUAGAUACCCCUGUAGUCCCUGUCUCUUAUCU
rnacentral:rRNA from 1 species